rnacentral:rRNA from 1 species
UGAGCUGUUGGCAGUCGCAGAUACCAGGCUGCUGCAACUGUUUAUUAAAAACACAGCACUCUGCAAACACGAAAGUGGACGUAUAGGGUGUGAUGUCUGCCCGGUGCUGGAAGGUUAAUUGAUGGGGUUAGCGUAUGCGAAGCUCUUGAUCGAAGCCCCAGUAAACGGCGGCCGUAACAAUAACGGUCCUAAGGUAGCGAAAUUCCUUGUCGGGUAAGUUCCGACCUGCACGAAUGGCGUAACGACUUCCCUGCUGUCUCAACCACAGGCCCGGUGAAAUUGCAGUACGAGUAAAGAUGCUCGUUACGCGCGGCAGGACGAAAAGACCCCGGGACCUUCACUAUAGCUUGGUAUUGGUGUUUGAUUCGGUUUGUGUAGGAUAGGUGGGAGACGUUGAUGCGGCCACGCUAGUGGUGGUGGAGUCGUUGGUGAAAUACCACUCUGAUUGUUCUGGUUAUCUCACUGUGGACCGUGAUCCGGUUCAAGGACAGUGCCUGAUGGGUAGUUUGACUGGGGCGGU